CCUACGGGAGGCAGCAGUGAGGAAUAUUGGUCAAUGGGCGCGAGCCUGAACCAGCCAAGUAGCGUGAAGGAUGACUGCCCUCCGGGUUGUAAACUUCUUUUAUAAAGGAAUAAAGUGCGGCACGUGUGCCUUUUUCUAUGUCUUUUAUGAAUACGGCUCGGCUAAUUCCGUGCCAGCAGCAGCGGUAAUACGGAGGAUCCGAGCGUUAUCCGGAUUUAUUGGGUUUAAAGGGAGCGUAGAUGGGUUGUUAAGUCAGUUGUGAAAGUUUGCGGCUCAACCGUAAAAUUGCAAUUGAUACUGGCAGCCUUGAGUACAGUUGAGGUAGGCGGAAUUCGUGGUGUAGCGGUGAAAUGCUUAGAGAUCACGAAGAACUCUGAUUGCGAAGGCAGCCUACUAAACUGCCACUGACAUUGAUGCUCGAAAGUGUGGGUAGCAAACAGGAUUAGAUACCCCGGUAGUC
rnacentral:rRNA from 1 species